UACAGAGGGUGCAAGCGUUGUUCGGAAUUAUUGGGCGUAAAGGGCGCGUAGGCGGUGCCACAAGUCACCUGUGAAAUCUCCGGGCUUAACUCGGAGCCUGCAGGCGAAACUGUGGUGCUGGAGUGUGGGAGAGGUGCGUGGAAUUCCUGGUGUAGCGGUGAAAUGCGUAGAUAUCAGGAGGGACACCUGUGGCGAAAGCGGCGCACUGGACCACAACUGACGCUGAGGCGCGAAAGCUAGGGGAGCAAACAGG
rnacentral:rRNA from 1 species